rnacentral:rRNA from 1 species
UUUUGACCUCAGCUCAGUCGUGAAUACCCGCUCCGCAGCCAAU